rnacentral:rRNA from 1 species
CCUGAGAGGGGGAUCCCCCACACUGGUAAUGAGACACGGACCAGACUCCUACGGGAGGCAGCAGUGAGGAAUAUUGGACAAUGGAGGCAACUCUGAUCCAGCCAUGCCGCGUGCAGGAAGACUGCCCUAUGGGUUGUAAACUGCUUUUAUACGGGAAGAAACCGUGCUACGUGUAGCACCUUGACGGUACCGUAAGAAUAAGGAUCGGCUAACUCCGUGCCAGCAGCCGCGGUAAUACGGAGGAUCCAAGCGUUAUCCGGAAUCAUUGGGUUUAAAGGGUCCGUAGGUGGAUAAUUAAGUCAGGGGUGAAAGUGUGCAGCUCAACUGUAGAAUUGCCUUUGAUACUGGUUAUCUUGAAUCAUUAUGAAGUAGUUAGAAUAUGUAGUGUAGCGGUGAAAUGCAUAGAUAUUACAUAGAAUACCAAUUGCGAAGGCAGAUUACUAAUAAUGUAUUGACAGUGAUGGACGAAAGCGUAGGUAGCGAACGGGAUUAGAUACCCCGGU